GAGGGGCAGCCUAGACAUAUAUAAACAAGUACAUUCCAGGUCACAUAGGAAGAAACCUGACUCAUCCAUAGUGGGCCUGCUGGCAUUGUGGGCAGAAUGGACACCAGGCAGAUUUCCAGCCCCUUCACCUAUGUUUCCAGAAGUCUUGGGGCGUUCUCUUCUAAAUGGCAGGAAGAAAGAAUAAAAGAGACACUGAUACAGGGCAAUCAUAGCCAGAAUUGCACAAGGAGUCACUGGCAUCCUGCAAAUUCACCUCAAGAGGAAUGUGUUAGAGCUCUCCAAAUGUGCAGGAUACACACACACACACACACACACACUUCAGGUGUUCUGAACACAUUAAUUGCCCCAUGUUGUGACCCCUUUCUAUAUUCUCCUUGUUGCAUGUAUAACUAGAGAGGCCUGCGUUAUAUUCACAGGGGCCCCAGGGCCAACUUCUAUCUAUACCUAUAUGAAAUGUAUACAUUUGUCAAGAUUAAAUUGAUGGUGGUUUUCAUAUAAUUGUUGCAUUUUUAGGACAAAGCUAAUGGAAGUGACAAAUUGCUUUUCAAUACAGACCAUUCAUGUUAUAACUAGUAAAAAUUAUCUGUAACAAUAAUAAAAUUGCC
rnacentral:lncRNA from 1 species